rnacentral:misc_RNA from 1 species
UGCUGCCGCAGUUCACCGGAACCAUCGAACAGAUCCCGCCGCAGUAUUCGGCAAUCAAGAUUCAGGGCGAACGGGCCUAUGACAUGGCCCGCGACGGCGAGGUGGUCCCGCUGCAGCCCCGGCCGGUCGAGAUUCACNNNNNNNNNNGGAUGGCGACCGCUCGGUGUUCGAGGCCGAAUGCGGCAAGGGCACCUACGUCCGGGCACUGGCCCGCGAUAUGGGCCGUCUUUUGGGCUGUUUUGGUCAUAUUUGCGCGCUCCGGCGCACGAUUUGCGGGCC